rnacentral:rRNA from 1 species
UACGAAGGGGGCUAGCGUUGUUCGGAAUCACUGGGCGUAAAGGGCGCGUAGGCGGCUUUAUAAGUCGGGGGUGAAAGCCUGUGGCUCAACCACUGAAUUGCCUUCGAUACUGUAGAGCUUGAGACCGGAAGAGGUAAGUGGAACUGCGAGUGUAGAGGUGAAAUUCGUAGAUAUUCGCAAGAACACCAGUGGCGAAGGCGGCUUACUGGUCCGGUUCUGACGCUGAGGCGCGAAAGCGUGGGGAGCAAACAGG